AGUGAACGCUGGCGGUAGGCCUAACACAUGCGAGUCGAACGGCAGCACAGUAAGAGCUUGCUCUUACGGGUGGCGAGUGGCGGACGGGUGAGGAAUACAUCGGAAUCUACUUUUUCGUGGGGGAUAACGUAGGGAAACUUACGCUAAUACCGCAUACGACCUACGGGUGAAAGCAGGGGAUCUUCGGACCUUGCGCGAUUGAAUGAGCCGAUGUCGGAUUAGCUAGUUGGCGGGGUAAAGGCCCACCAAGGCGACGAUCCGUAGCUGGUCUGAGAGGAUGAUCAGCCACACUGGAACUGAGACACGGUCCAGACUCCUACGGGAGUCAGCAGUGGGGAAUAUUGGACAAUGGGCGCAAGCCUGAUCCAGCCAUACCGCGUGGGUGAAGAAGGCCUUCGGGUUGUAAAGCCCUUUUGUUGGGAAAGAAAAGCAGCAGGUUAAUACCCCGCUGUUCUGACGGUACCCAAAGAAUAAGCACCGGCUAACUUCGUG
rnacentral:rRNA from 1 species